AGGCUCAGGCUCCUGCUACUGCCUAGGCCUCUACCAGCUGCUGUGCUUCAAGCAGAAGGACGGGAUUUCUACAGACUAGGGCUCAACCGGCUGCCUACUUGGGAUCGGGGCGAGGUGGUGGGACCUCCCGCAGCCAUAAGAGCCUGGGGGCAACCAGGCAGAAACUGCUGGUGUGAUAACAGUUGGUGUCUGCCCAGGACACCCUCUCUCCUCUCUUCCUUCCCUUGCACAAGAAUUAGUACAGUUCCUACCUCAUCAUCUUCGUGAGGAAGACCUGGGUUCAGUCCCCAGCACCCACCCGGUGUACAUGUACAUGUGAUCCGACCACACUCUUUUGUCCUCCGCAGGCGCCAGACACACGGCCUCACGCACAUACAGGCGGGUGGAUGCAUGUCCUACUAUGAGUGUGGAGGUGAGAGUGUGGAUGGUUCUCUCCUUCCAUCCAGGGUCCUGAAGCCUGGGAAAGGAAAGGAAGACAGGACCCCAAGUCAAGGAAAAGGCUUUCCAGCUGACAACUGAACAGCCUCCAUCAUGAGGAAAGCAGAGGCCGGACAACUGUGGAGCCCAGCAGUUCAAAGCCAGCCUGGGCAACCGAGCGAGACCUUGUCCAAAAGAGAGGGGGUCAGGGCCCAGUGUUAUAGCAUCUAUUUACCACAGCACAGACAAGGGACAAUAUCAUCAUAGCCUAAAACAAGAUGUAGAGCUCUCAGCACCGUGUUUCAUGUUUCUCGCUAUGACAACGAUGGACUGAACCUCUGAACUGGGCCUGCCCCACACUUGGAAGGAGGAAGGCUGCAGGGACGCAUCUAAGCGGACAGGCCCUGCAUGGCCUGCAUAGUCUGUUGUCACAAGAUCAGAUCCUCACACUUCUAUAUGACUGUGUGCUUUCAAGGUACCUACGUAUAAAGCAGACAGCUCCCUGGGGUCUUCGGGUCUUUGUUCUUGAAAGCUCCCAUGUCAUAUAGACCUUGGAUUUUCUGUAUAUGUCAUGCCUUUUCUAUGUAAUGAAGGCAUGGUCACUCUGUAAAGAGAACACAACCCAGGCCAAGAUGGAAGGACUGGAGCCAGGCCAGGACUGCAGACAGACACUGCUGCUCCCGUGGGUACUCACUGUCUUCAUCCCAGCAAGCUGAGGCCAGAGGUGGGGGAGGACACAGGAAGAACCAGCUGGCUGGGUAGGCUGGGCUGGCACGCAGUGAGUACACAGAGGAAUAAAGGAGAGAGAAGCUAACUGUUCUCUCAGGAGCCAGGGUUCCUGCUGUGACCUGUUCCCGGUUGUGGGAGGAUAAAAGGCCCCCAUACUCUGUAAGGUUUCAGAGUCGGCGGACGUUUAGGGAAUGUACUUUUGGAAUUAGUUUAUAUUUGUCUUCCUCCCUCCCUCCCUCCCUCCCUCCCUCCCUUCCUUCCUUCCUUCCUUUCUUCCUUCCUGAGACAGAGUUCUAGGCUGACUAAAACUCAAUAUGAUGACUUUAAGACUUGUUUGUAGGGGUUGGGGAUUUAGCUC
rnacentral:sRNA from 1 species